GUUUUCUAGCCUAAUAAUAAGAUAAUUCAACAAACUAUAUUUAAGUCGGUGCAACUAUCAUUCAAAUCCCAAUCGUAACUUUCGUUUCAUUUUCUAAUUGACAGUAGGCAACUUUUUCUCUAAUUUAUUAUACAACACCUUAAUUAAAUAUUUUUGUUUCCCCAGGAUACCUUCUAAUACAUUACAAAUUUACAGUUCAAAAAAG
rnacentral:misc_RNA from 1 species